rnacentral:rRNA from 1 species
AUACGGAGGAUCCGAGCGUUAUCCGGAUUUAUUGGGUUUAAAGGGUGCGCAGGCGGGAGAUUAAGUCGGCGGUGAAAUUUUGCAGCUCAACUGUAAAAGUGCCUUCGAAACUGGUUUCCUUGAGUGUAGAUGAAGUAGGCGGAAUUUGUGGUGUAGCGGUGAUAUGCAUAGAUAUCACGAGGAACUCCGAUUGCGCAGGCAGCUUACUAAACUACUACUGACGCUUAGGCACGAAGGCGUGGGGAUCAAACAGGAUUAGAUACCCUGGUAGUCCACGCAGUAAACGAUGAUUACUAGCUGUUUGCGAUACAAUGUAAGCGGCUGAGCGAAAGCGUUAAGUAAUCCACCUGGGGAGUACGUUCGCAAGAAUGAAACUCAAAUGAAUUGACGGGG